rnacentral:sRNA from 12 species
AAGAGGUUGAUUCGGCCCGCCUGGGGAGACCGGGGGAAAUACGGGUGAAAUAACCGGGCUGAAUGACAGGCUGGGUGGCGAAGC